rnacentral:rRNA from 1 species
GUCUAUGGCCAUACCACCCUGAACAAGCCCAAUCCUGUCUGAUCUCCGAAGCUAAGCAGGGUCGGGCCUGGUUAGUACUUGGAUGGGAGACCACCUAGGAAGUCCAGGUGCUGUAGGCG